rnacentral:rRNA from 1 species
UGGGGAAUUUUGGACAAUGGGCGAAAGCCUGAUCCAGCCAUGCCGCGUGAGUGAAGAAGGCCUUCGGGUUGUAAAGCUCUUUUAGUCGGAAAGAAAAGAUCAUAAUGAACAAUUAUGAUUCAUGACGGUACCGACAGAAAAAGCACCGGCUAACUACGUGCCAGCAGCCGCGGUAAUACGUAGGGUGCGAGCGUUAAUCGGAAUUACUGGGCGUAAAGGGUGCGCAGGCGGUUUUGUAAGUCAGAUGUGAAAUCCCCGGGCUUAACCUGGGAAUUGCGUUUGAAACUAUAAGACUAGAGUGCAAGAGAGGGGAGUGGAAUUCCAUGUGUAGCAGUGAAAUGCGUAGAGAUGUGGAAGAACACCGAUGGCGAAGGCAGCUCCCUGGAUUGACACUGACGCUCAUGCACGAAAGCGUGGGGAGCAAACA